rnacentral:rRNA from 1 species
UACGUAGGGCGCAAGCGUUAUCCGGAAUUAUUGGGCGUAAAGAGCUCGUGAGGCGGUUUGUCGCGUCUGCCGUGAAAGUCCGGGGCUCAACUCCGGAUCUGCGGUGGGUACGGGCAGACUAGAGUGAUGUAGGGGAGACUGGAAUUCCUGGUGUAGCGGUGAAAUGCGCAGAUAUCAGGAGGAACACCGAUGGCGAAGCAGGUCUCUGGGCAUUAACUGACGCUGAGGAGCGAAAGCAUGGGGAGCGAACAGG